AGAGUGGAGGUUGAGGCAGAUAGUUGGUAGAGUGGAGGUUGAGGCAGAGAGUUGGUAGAGUGGAGGUUGAGGCAAAGAGUUGGUAGAGUGGAGGUUGAGGCAAAGAGUUGGUAGAGUGGAGGUUGAGGCAGAGAGUUGGUAGAGUGGAGGUUGAGGCAGAUAGUUGGUAGAGUGGAGGUUGAGGCAAAGAGUUGGUAGAGUGGAGGUUGAGGCAGAGAGUUGGUAGAGUGGAGGUUGAGGCAGAGAGUUGGUAGAGUGGAGGUUGAGGCAAAGAGUUGGUAGAAUGGAGGUUGAGGCAGAGAGUUGG
ensembl:lncRNA